UGGCUGGAACGGCCGCCAAGUGCCCCCCCCACCCCCCAAUGCCGUCAGCGGCUCUUCCUCACAACUUUGCAAGGGGGGGUUGUUUGCUCCCCUCCUUUGCAGCAUAGUGUCCCAGGCCACCUCCCCUCCCCGCCCUGGGUGUUUCCGACGCCACGGAGAGCGUCGCCUGAAAUGUUGUUACACAAGGCGCCGGGGCCUUAUGCAAGGAGAGCGAGGGAGAGACGGAAGGAUGCUGAAGACUAUAAAACAAGCCCUCUUCUCUACUGGGCUGGAGAUGCCCAAAUGGACAGCCCUGCCAAACCAGGUGACCAGCGUUUAUGGUUGUUGUUGUUUUUAAUGACUGGAAGGUGACUUUCCGCUUAAUCCUUGAUCGCGUCCAGUAAGUGGAAGGGGAAGAGAUUUGCACACAUGCAUACACAUGUCCCUGAGCGGAGUCCUAAACACAAAUUGCUUGACUAAAUAUGUGAUCGAAUGGGCGACACCUAAGCAGGGGUUCAUUAUGUAUGAGAGUUCCCUAUUGCAGCUGGAAAUAUCACUGUUGCCAAAAAGUUUAAAUUUUGUGUUCAGCAAGACUUCACUGGAAGAUGGAAGAACUAAUGCAAGUAUCCCAGGGAAAAUAACAUGAAAACAUCCAACAGACAUAAUUUAAUAUAGCAUUGCCCCCUCCCCUGGGUAUUAUCCUAAGCCUCUCUGUUGACUCCACAUUUUGUCUAUGUAUUGACGUAUGUAGUAGGUGGAUGUAAAGGGUUUUUUAAAUGCACAAGGAGUGCUUUGAAAGCAAAGUUAUGAGGUACUGUGGUUGAGUAAUGCAACAGUGUAAAUGAGUUUGAUUAACCUAUUAUUAUUUUUGAAAAUACCUUCAGAUUGCAAUUUAAAUCUAUGUCAUUGAUUAAGGAUAACCUUGCAUUACUGAGAGAACCUGAAGUUUGGACUCUGUUAACAUGGACACCAUGCAUUUUUUCUUGGUAAAAAUAAAUAUUUACAAAUA